AGCCCGCUAUCGGAGUCGA
rnacentral:tRNA from 1 species